rnacentral:rRNA from 1 species
UACGAAGGGGGCUAGCGUUGUUCGGAAUUACUGGGCGUAAAGCGCACGUAGGCGGAAUGUUAAGUCAGGGGUGAAAUCCCGGGGCUCAACCCCGGAACUGCCUUUGAUACUGGCAUUCUUGAGUCCGGAAGAGGUGAGUGGAAUUCCGAGUGUAGAGGUGAAAUUCGUAGAUAUUCGGAGGAACACCAGUGGCGAAGGCGGCUCACUGGUCCGGAACUGACGCUGAGGUGCGAAAGCGUGGGGAGCAAACAGG